rnacentral:rRNA from 1 species
UCGAGAAUUUUUGGCAAUGGGCGAAAGCCUGACCAAGCGAUGCCGCGUGCGGGAUGAAGGCCUUCGGGUUGUAAACCGCUGUCAGUGGGGAGGAAAGCUUUGUGAAGAGCAAGGCUUGACCUAUCUGCAGAGGAAGUGUGGGCUAAGUUCGUGCCAGCAGCCGCGGUAAGACGAACCACACGAACGUUAUUCGGAAUUACUGGGCUUAAAGGGUGCGUAGGCGGCGCAGAAAGUUGGGUGUGAAAUCCCUCGGCUCAACCGAGGAACUGCGCCCAAAACUACUGUGCUUGAGGAAGAUAGAGGUAAGCGGAACUCACGGUGGAGCGGUGAAAUGCGUUGAUAUCGUGAGGAACACCUGUGGCGAAAGCGGCUUACUGGGUCUUUUCUGACGCUGAUGCACGAAAGCCAGGGGAGCAAACG